GUGGGGAAUAUUGCACAAUGGGCGGAAGCCUGAUGCAGCAACGCCGCGUGCGGGAUGACGGCCUUCGGGUUGUAAACCGCUUUCGCCUGUGACGAAGCGUGAGUGACGGUAAUGGGUAAAGAAGCACCGGCUAACUACGUGCCAGCAGCCGCGGUGAUACGUAGGGUGCGAGCGUUGUCCGGAUUUAUUGGGCGUAAAGGGCUCGUAGGUGGUUGAUCGCGUCGGAAGUGUAAUCUUGGGGCUUAACCCUGAGCGUGCUUUCGAUACGGGUUGACUUGAGGAAGGUAGGGGAGAAUGGAAUUCCUGGUGGAGCGGUGGAAUGCGCAGAUAUCAGGAGGAACACCAGUGGCGAAGGCGGUUCUCUGGGCCUUUCCUGACGCUGAGGAGCGAAAGCGUGGGGAGCGAACAGGCUUAGAUACCCUGGUAGUCC
rnacentral:rRNA from 1 species